rnacentral:rRNA from 1 species
CAGUAGCCGCGGUAAUACGUAGGUGGCAAGCGUUGUCCGGAAUUAUUGGGCGUAAAGGGCUCGCAGGCGGUUUCUUAAGUCUGGUGUGAAAGCCCCCGGCUCAACCGGGGAGGGUCAUUGGAAACUGGGAAACUUGAGUGCAGAAGAGGAGAGUGGAAUUCCCAGUGUAGCGGUGAAAUGCGCAGAUAUUAGGAGGAACACCGGCGGCGAAGGCGGUUUUCUGGAUUGUAACUGACGCUGAGGAGCGAAAGCGUGGGGAGCGAACAGGAUUAGAUACCCCAGUAGUCCCUGUCUCUUAUAA